CUUCAGUGAGAAGGGUUAUGAACAAAUGGAAUACAUAGGCCGAUGUGACGGGGUCAGUUUUUAUCAACUGCAUGUUUUAUUUUUAACCUUGUUGUGUUAAGAGUUUUUAGUGAGUUUUGGAUGCAUGUAGUAUUUUGUCCAACUGGCCCUGAACUGCUCAUGGACUCCAGCAGCAAUUAGCUGCAUUAGCGCCAGGUGUGCAGCAGCAGCAGACAAACUUUGUAAGCAGGCAGAGCACACAACACGACAGGCCCCGCAGCAGGAGAGACGCCACGCAGCAGCAAGAGCCAAGCCAGAGGAGCCGAGUCGGCCAAGAGACGACAGGAGCGCAGCCCGGAGGGUGGACGGCUGGAGGGAGAGAAGGAGCCCUGCUGCCGGCUUGAUUUGAGGGGAAGCCGCGUGGAGUAAUAGAGGGUGGCUGCAUUGUUUUCAGUUCUUAAGGAUUCCCGUGUGCAGCCCUGGGACAUCUUCGAAGGGGAGACAGAGGAUUGAUGGACUGCCACGGGUGACUUUGGGCCGGAGUUUUUCAAACUUUCUUUUUAAAUAAACCCUGUUAAACUUU